rnacentral:rRNA from 1 species
UAAUACAGAGGGUGCAAGCGUUGUUCGGAAUUAUUGGGCGUAAAGGGAGUGUAGGCUGUCUAGUAAGUCUUCUGUGAAAUCUACGGGCUUAGCCUGUAACGUGCAGAGGAAACUGCAAGGCUUGAGUGUUGGAGAGGAUAGUGGAAUUCCCGGUGUAGAAGUGAAAUUCGUAGAGAUCGGGAGGAACACCAGUGGCGAAGGCGACUAUCUGGCUGACAACUGACGCUGAGACUCGAAAGCAUGGGGAGCAAACAGG